UACGUAGGGAGCAAGCGUUGUCCGGAAUCAUUGGGCGUAAAGCGCGCGUAGGUGGCUUCGUAAGUCCGUUGUGAAAGUCAAAGGCUCAACCUUUGAAAGCCGAUGGAUACUGUGGAGCUAGAGUACGGAAGAGGCGAGUGGAAUUCCUGGUGUAGCGGUGGAAUGCGCAGAUAUCGGGAGGAACACCAGUGGCGAAGGCGGCGAUCUGGGAAGAUACUGACGCUGAGGUGCGAAAGCGUGGGGAGCAAACAGG
rnacentral:rRNA from 1 species